CGUGCAAGUCGGCUUGUCGCUGUUCUAGACCAAGUAUUUGGUUUGGAAAAGAGGAAAGUCCGGGCAACAGAGAGCGCCAUACUUCCUAACGGGAAGGGGGCUGACUGGUGACGGUCAGUUUACAGAUAGUGCCACAGAAAAUAUACCGUCCCGAUAGCUAUCGGGAUAAGGGUGAAAAGGUGGAGUAAGAGCCCACCGGUUCUAUGGUGACAUAGGACGCAUGGUAAACCUUAUGGGUUGAAAGGUCAAAUAGACCUCGGGCAAAGAGCUGCUCGUUCGAUUCUGCAUACGGUCCGAUUUAUCGGAUUCGGAGUAGAUUCCGAGGUGGGUAGACCGAUAGACCCCAAUUGUGAAAUUGGGGCUAGAUAAAUGACAAGAUUCCUUAAAAGGAAACAGAACCCGGCUUACAGACUUGCACUUUUU
rnacentral:RNase_P_RNA from 1 species